rnacentral:tRNA from 1 species
GACUUUAUUAAUAAUUAUUUUGAAAGUAGUUAAUAAGAUUAAACUUUAAAGUCA